UAGCAAUACAUGCUGACGACCGGCGCACGGGUGAGUAUCGCGUAUGCAACCUACCUCUUACAGGAGGAUAGCCCAAGGAAACUCGGAUUAAUACUCCAUAAUAUCCUGAAUUCGCAUGUUUUCAGGAUUAAAGCUCCGGCGGUAAGAGAUGGGCAUGCGUGCCAUUAGCUUGUUGGUGAGGUAACGGCUCACCAAGGCUGCGAUGGCUAGGGGGCCUGAGAGGGUAAUCCCCCACACUGGUACUGAGACACGGACCAGACUCCUACGGGAGGCAGCAGUGAGGAAUAUUGGGCAAUGGACGAAAGUCUGACCCAGCCAUGCCGCGUGCAGGAUGAAUGCCCUAUGGGUUGUAAACUGCUUUUCUACGGGAUGAAAUUUUCCGACGUGUCGGAAUUCGACGGUACCGUAGGAAUAAGCAUCGGCUAACUCCGUGCCAGCAGCCGCGGUAAUACGGAGGAUGCAAGCGUUAUCCGGAUUUAUUGGGUUUAAAGGGUGCGUAGGCGGAAUAAUAAGUCAGUGGUGAAAUCUUGCGGCUCAACCGUAAAAUUGCCUCUGAUACUGUUAUUCUUGAGUGCAGUUGAGGUAGGCGGAAUGUGUAAUGUAGCGAUGAAAUGCAUAGA
rnacentral:rRNA from 1 species